UACGAAGGGGGCUAGCGUUGCUCGGAAUUACUGGGCGUAAAGGGCGCGUAGGCGGUUUGUACAGUCAGAUGUGAAAUUCCCGGGCUCAACCUGGGGGCUGCAUUUGAUACGUAUGGACUUGAGUUCGGAAGAGGGUCGUGGAAUUCCCAGUGUAGAGGUGAAAUUCGUAGAUAUUGGGAAGAACACCGGUGGCGAAGGCGGCGACCUGGUCCGAUACUGACGCUGAGGCGCGAAAGCGUGGGGAGCAAACAGG
rnacentral:rRNA from 1 species